rnacentral:ncRNA from 1 species
GAAACGCGAACCAAGCAGACGCGGAAAGCGUCGUGAGACUUGGAGCUGACCUCGGUAACGAGGUCAUGUG